CGAACGCUGGCGGCGUGCUUAACACAUGCACGUCGAACGGAAAGGCCCUGCUUUUGUGGGGUGCUCGAGUGGCGAACGGGUGAGUAACACGUGAGUAACCUGCCCUUGACUUUGGGAUAACUUCAGGAAACUGGGGCUAAUACCGGAUAGGAGCUCCUGCUGCAUGGUGGGGGUUGGAAAGUUUCGGCGGUUGGGGAUGGACUCGCGGCUUAUCAGCUUGUUGGUGGGGUAGUGGCUUACCAAGGCUUUGACGGGUAGCCGGCCUGAGAGGGUGACCGGCCACAUUGGGACUGAGAUACGGCCCAGACUCCUACGGGAGGCAGCAGUGGGGAAUAUUGCACAAUGGGCGGAAGCCUGAUGCAGCAACGCCGCGUGCGGGAUGACGGCCUUCGGGUUGUAAACCGCCUUCGCCUGUGACGAAGCGUGAGUGACGGUAAUGGGUAAAGAAGCACCGGCUAACUACGUG
rnacentral:rRNA from 1 species